rnacentral:rRNA from 1 species
AGUGAACGCUGGCGGUAGGCCUAACACAUGCAAGUCGAACGGCAGCACAGUAAGAGCUUGCUCUUACGGGUGGCGAGUGGCGGACGGGUGAGGAAUACAUCGGAAUCUACUUUUUCGUGGGGGAUAACGUAGGGAAACUUACGCUAAUACCGCAUACGACCUACGGGUGAAAGCAGGGGAUCUUCGGACCUUGCGCGAUUGAAUGAGCCGAUGUCGGAUUAGCUAGUUGGCGGGUUAAAGGCCCACCAAGGCGACGAUCCGUAGCUGGUCUGAGAGGAUGGUCAGCCACACUGGAACUGAGACACGGUCCAGACUCCUACGGGAGGCAGCAGUGGGGAAUAUUGGACAAUGGGCGCAAGCCUGAUCCAGCCAUACCGCGUGGGUGAAGAAGGCCUUCGGGUUGUAAAGCCCUUUUGUUGGGAAAGAAAAGCAGCAGGUUAAUACCCCGCUGUUCUGACGGUACCCAAAGAAUAAGCACCGGCUAACUUCGUG